CCUGGUUGAUUCUGCCAGUAUUCAUAUGCUUGUCUCAAAGAUUAAGCCAUGCAUGUCUAAGUAUAAGCAACUUUGUACUGUGAAACUGCGAAUGGCUCAUUAAAUCAGUUAUAGUUUAUUUGAUGGUUUUUGCUACAUGGAUAACUGUGGUAAUUCUAGAGCUAAUACAUGCAUUCAAGCCCCGACUUCUGGAAGGGGUGUAUUUAUUAGAUAAAAAUCAACUUUGUUGGUGAAUCAUAAUAACUUCUCGGACCGCAUGGCCUCGUGCUGGCGGUGCUUCAUUCAAAUAUCUGCCCUAUCAACUGUCGAUGGUAGGAUAGAGGCCUACCAUGGUUGCAACGGGUAACGGGGAAUAAGGGUUCGAUUCCGGAGAGGGAGCCUGAGAAACGGCUACCACAUCCAAGGAAGGCAGCAGGCGCGCAAAUUACCCAAUCCCAACACGGGGAGGUAGUGACAAUAUGUAACAAUAUACGGCCUUAUACGUCGUAUAAUUGGAAUGAGUACAAUUUAAAUCCCUUAACGAGGAACAAUUGGAGGGCAAGUCUGGUGCCAGCAGCCGCGGUAAUUCCAGCUCCAAUAGCGUAUAUUAAAGUUGUUGCAGUUAAAAAGCUCGUAGUUGGACCUUGGACCUGGACAGGCGGUCCGCCUCACGGCGAGUACUGUCUUGCUGGGUCUUUCCUCUUGGUGAUCUGUUGUUUCGGCAGCAGGGAACCAGGACCUUUACUUUGAAAAAAUUAGAGUGU
rnacentral:rRNA from 1 species